rnacentral:rRNA from 1 species
CCUACGGGAGGCAGCAGUAGGGAAUAUUACUCAAUGGGGGAAACCCUGAUGCAGCGACGCCGCGUGGGGGAUGAAGGUUUUCGGAUUGUAAACUCCUUUUGUUAGAGAAGAUAAUGACGGUAUCGAACGAAGAAGCACCGGCUAACUCCGUGCCAGCAGCCGCGGUAAUACGGAGGGUGCAAGCGUUACUCGGAAUCACUGGGUGUAAAGAGCGCGUAGGCGGGAUCGCAAGUCAGAUGUGAAAUCCAAUGGCUUAACCAUAGAACUGCAUUUGAAACUGUGAUUCUAGAGUAUGGGAGAGGUAGGUGGAAUUCUUGGUGUAGGGGUAAAAUCCGUAGAGAUCAAGAGGAAUACUCAUUGCGAAGGCGACUUGCUAGAAUAUAACUGACGCUGAUGCGCGAAAGCGUGGGGAGCAAACAGGAUUAGAUACCCGUGUAGUC